UUACUUUUUGCGACUCAGACUCAUGUAGCCAUCAUCCUCGGAUUGAUUCUCCCCGCUGUUGCAGUGCAAGGCCACCGGUUUCGUUGCUGCUUCCUCGAACUCCGAUAUGAUUUCGUCGAGGACUUUGAUGGGCUCAGCUUCAGUUGUUACCGUUACGACCCCUUGUCUGAAAGAGACUGAAGAAUUGAGAAGAGGUGCGAAGAAACAACAACAGCAACAAGAGAAGAAGAAAAAGGGAAAAGGGAAGAUGAGAACGAGAACAGCAACAACGUGAGGCUGGCUGGCCGAGAGUGUGAGAGAACACUAUUCGCGCACUCCGUCCUACUCCUUCCACCUUAUCUUCCUUCAUUCAUAUUUUCUAUACACCGUGGGGGCCGGCCUGCUGGGAGAGAGAGGAGUUUGGGUCAGGCGCAUUCACACACAAUUUUCAUAUGCCCUCCUCCCGUCUCUCCCUACGUUCGCAGGCUAUAUAUAAACAUGGUUUUAGUUGAACAGAAAAAUGUAUAAAACUUUUCGCAAUUGCAUUCUAGGUUGGCCUAAAAAAGUUUGAUUGGAACGGAUGCACUGACGAUAAUAAUAAAAGUUUGCAAUAUUUAA